GCGAAGGGCCUGGCCCGCGGCUCUUCCCGCCGCUGCUCUGGCGCCCCAGGGGCCAAAGGGACCGGCUCUCUCCUCAGCCUGAGCAGCCAGCCUCAGCCUUGGCGCGGCGGAGGCCCUGGCGGCAGGGGCUGGCCGAAGGGCCUGUAGAGGCGGGGAGACCUCCCAGGGGACUGUGAAACUUGCCUUGAGAGCAGAUCAUAAAAAGAAGCAGCAGCGCUUGUGGGGAAAGCUGUUGUCCCAAGGAGGCUGUGGUACGGAUUUGUCACAAAGCCAGCCACAGAGAAGGCAAAUCUCUAAGCUCAGAUGGGAAGAAUGACUCUCAACAGACUACUGCCUUCUGCUUCUGUCACCACAUGCAACCCAUGGAAGCCAGUGAGAGUUUGUCCUAGUGUCAUCGCUUGAUAAGGACAGGUCUUAUUUGGCAGCCACUUUUAAUUUGUUUUGCCUCAUUUUGUCUUUAUAGAGACAAGGGUCUUAGGAGCUCUGCACACUAAAGCAAAUUACAAAUCUUACAAUCUCAGGACCUGCACGUGUAUCUCCACGUCCCCUUCACCUGCAGGCAGAGCCAAGGGAUCCACCAUGGACCUCCCCGAACACUCUGGACCUACCUGCUGAGGCCAGUUUUCAGAAACAUUCAGUUUGGUAGGUCUGAAAUAAGAGAAGCCUAAAAUUAGCACUUUUUAACUUGAAUACAAUGCAAGAGUGCUCCCUGGGGGGACUGCCCUUUCUGAUACCUGAACUCUGUUUCCACGUUUGGAGUCUGCGGUAGUUGAGCACUUCCAUUUACCAUGUUGCAGUGUUGAAAGCACAGACACAUAACCCAGAAAAAGAAUUAGCAAGAGGGAAAAAGGCUCUUUGUAUUAUGAUACAUAAAUUCAAAAUAUAGUAGUUAUGGAUAGUGGUAUUUCACUAAAACACUCUUCCUUGAGCAAAAGUCUUUUAAAGUAUCUACCAAUAGCAAUGGUAAAUGAGAGCAACAGACACCCCCACACCCCUCUGAUAGAAGUGGAGACCGAUUUUAACUGCGGAUUUCUGGUGUUUAGAAGUUUUGAUUUCAGUAUCUUGCUUCUGUCUGCUCCCUGGCUCUAAAGCUGUCAGAGCGAAGUUGUGGGAAGCAAGGUCAGUCUCGGAGACGAUGAGGACCAGCUGUGACAAUGAAAAGUCAAUGAAUAUUCACAUGAGAUUCCAGUUCCUGACUUGCUCCUGCUACUCCUCUUGUGGGUCCUGCCAGCACAGCAGAUGGCAGACACUGAAAGACUGUUGUGCCAGUGGAAAAUUACUGAGGGUGUUUUUGGUCUUGUGUAUUGGUGUGUGUGAGGGGGGGAAGUGGGGCAAACAUCUAUUAAUUUAAUUAUUUUCAUAAGAGGAAAGGAAAACAAAUGGUUCCUAAGACUAAAAAAAAUUACUAGCAUGUAAAGAACCAGUCUCUUAUUUUAGACGAAUGAUACUUGUCUGUUUACAUUAUAAGUUUUCCUUGUAAUUCCAUGUAACUUCCCUCAUAAGUCAGAAUUGUGUUUUCUUAAAUAGUUGUGUAAUUAAAAAGAGAACAACAUUGUAACAAUAGCACUGGGUGUUACUUAAGAAACCCAUGGAAAAACUAA